GACGAACGCUGGCGGCGUGCUUAACACAUGCAAGUCGAGCGGAGCGGCGAACGGGUGAGUAACGCGUGAGUAACUGCCCCCCUCUCUGGGAUAACAGUUGGAAACGGCUGCUAAUACCGGAUAGUGGGGGAUGACUCGCGUCCUAUCAGCUUGUUGGUGGGGUAGGGGCCUACCAAGGCGGCGACGGGUAGCCGGCCUGAGAGGGGGGACGGCCACAGUGGGCGUGGACACGGCCCAGACUCCUACGGGAGGCAGCAGUGGGGAAUAUUGCACAAUGGGGGGAAGCCUGAUGCAGCGACGCCGCGUGAGUGAUGACGGCCUUCGGGUUGUAAAGCUCUGUUAAUCGGGACGGCGAAUAGUGCGAGGAUUUGACGGUACCGGAAUAGAAAGCCACGGCUAACUACGUGCCAGCAGCCGCGGUAAUUC
rnacentral:rRNA from 1 species